UCAAAUGCGAAGACGAGGAAUAGUAGAAUCCCGAAUGUAUGCAGAGAGCCGCUGGCUGGUGUGAAGCGGCUGCAGGACAGAUUUGAACUCGCCUCUGAGCAGCGUGCUGAACCGCAUUCGUUCAGGAAGCUCUUCUGUAAUUGCAUGUAUAUAUCAUAACUGCAGUGAAUACAGAUAAGGAAAGAGCGCAGAAUGCAGUAGGCAUAGCCGGAGCCUGACCGUUACAGCAGGAGGAUAUAAGACUUUUUAAGUCCGUAUCUGUGAUGAGCGCAUACAUUUUGUAUGAAUAAGAGUGGUACCGCGUGAGUUUUCUCCGUCUCUUUC
rnacentral:ncRNA from 1 species